rfam:Schistosoma mansoni, Puerto Rico, WGS project CABG01000000 data, contig: 0083
ACCCAGUUGAUGAGUCCCAAAUAGGACGAAACGGGUGUCCUGGAU